rnacentral:rRNA from 1 species
UACAGAGGGGGCAAGCGUUAUUCGGAAUUAUUGGGCGUAAAGGGCGCGUAGGCGGUUCUUCAAGUCUCUCGUGAAAUCCCUCGGCUUAACUGAGGACGUGCGGGAGAUACUGAAGGGCUUGAGUCCGGAAGAGGGUGGUGGAAUUCCCAGUGUAGCGGUGAAAUGCGUAGAUAUCAAGUGGAACACCAGUGGCGAAGGCGAGUCUCUGGACAUUUCCUGACGCUGAGGCACGAAAGCCAGGGGAGCAAACGGG